AGGACGAACGCUGGCGGCGUGCUUAACACAUGCAAGUCGAGCGGAAAGGCCCUUCGGGGUACGUCGAGCGGCGAACGGGUGAGUAACACGUGAGCAACCUGCCCUUAGCUCCGGGAUAGCUCCGGGAAACCGGAAUUAAUACCGGAUACGACCACGGCCGACAUCUGCUGUGGUGGAAAGGAUUCCGGCUAAGGAUGGGCUCGCGGCCUAUCAGCUAGUUGGUGGGGUAAUGGCCCACCAAGGGCGACGACGGGGUA
rnacentral:rRNA from 1 species